CAUAGCUCUGUGGCAGAGCGUUGGUGUACGGAUCUAAAGGUCUCGGGUUCAAAUCCCGGUG
rnacentral:tRNA from 1 species